rnacentral:rRNA from 1 species
UACAGAGGGGGCAAGCGUUGUUCGGAAUUACUGGGCGUAAAGCGCGUGUAGGCGGCCCUGUAAGUCGGGUGUGAAAUCCCACGGCUCAACCGUGGAAGUGCACUCGAAACUACAGGGCUAGAGUCCUGGAGAGGAAGGUGGAAUGCUUGGUGUAGAGGUGAAAUUCGUAGAUAUCAAGCGGAACACCGGUGGCGAAGGCGGCCUUCUGGACAGUGACUGACGCUGAGACGCGAAAGCGUGGGGAGCAAACAGG